CUGGGCGCUACAAAGGACUGGAAAUCAGAUCCAGCUGACUACCUAGCUGGGCUGGUCUCGAUGUGAAAUGUCCCAGGACAGGCAACCACUUCUUCCGAACCGAUCCCAAGCCUCCAUCUCAGGUACUGAGCAUCAACAGACGGAAGGUGGCCAUGUGACCCCCCACAGCCCACGGGCACACGUCAUAGCUGCACUGUGCCUGAGCCCACCAGGUCCUCCCACGGCCUUCCUUCUCCUGGCCUCCAAACCAGCUAACAGGAGAUCCCGCCCCCUGGGGAUCCCCUUCUCCUCCAGCAGAAAUAAAUGCUCAGAGCCCAGCUUGUGUCUGUAAGCCCCUGGAUGAGGCUCCUGGAUCGCCGAGGUUCUCAUGGAACCACACCUUCAUACAGGGUUGAAGACACAAACUCCUACUGGGGUCACCAGCUGCCAUGCCUCUUACAUCACUGUGGACUGUCCCUCUGGAACUGUAAGCUAAUAAAAAGCUUUUUUUUAAA